UAGAUUGCUUUGUGUGCUGCUAAGAAAUAUUAUGUACUACUAUCUGGGAAUUUGAGGGACAAAGUAAUUAUACAUGGGUUCUUUUUGUUUUUCUUAAUGUUCUUUGGCUGAAAGUUCAAGGCUGGGAUAUCAUCGAUGGGACUACCGAGAAUUAUGUUUAUGGGUGAUUGUCCUUCCACUGUAACUUUACCCUGUCCU